rnacentral:lncRNA from 1 species
AGCUGCUACAGCAGUGAGGAGUGCACCGUUCCCUUCACCUUUGAGUACCAAAGUCUUCCUCAAAAAUGAGAAAGGACAAUAUAUUUCUCCAUUUCAUGAUGUUCCAAUUUAUGCAGACAAGGAUGUGCUCCACAUGGUGUUUGAGGUUCCGCGCCGGUCAAAUACAAAAAUGGAGAUUGCUAUAAAGGACCCUUUAAAGCCAAUUAAGCAAGAUAAUUGAAAGAGGGAAAGCUCAGCUAUGUUGCAAAUCUGUUCCCUUAUAACGGGUGUAUCUGGAACUACAGUGCCAUCCCCUAGACACAGGAAGACCUCGGACACAGUGACAAACACACUGGCUGUGUGGUGACAACAACCCAACUGAUGUUUGUAAAAUUGGAAGCAAGGUGUGUGCCAGAGUUGAGAUUAUCAGGGCAUACUGGCUGUGAUCGACGAGGGUGAGACCGACUGGAAGGUCAUUGCCAUUAAUGUGAAUGAACCAGACGCUUCCAAAUAAAUGAUAUUUCUGAUGUUGAACGACUGAAACCCAGCUACUUAGAAGCUACUGUUGAUUGGUUUAGAAGGUAUAAGGUUCCUGAUGGAAAACCAGAAAAUGAGUUUGCAUUCAAUGUAGAGUUUAAAGACGAGGAGUUUGCAGUUGACACUAUUAGAAACACUCAUGAUUCUUGGAAAGAAUGAGUGGCUAAGAAAACAGAUGGGAAAGGAAUCGGUUGCACCACAAUGUCGGAGAGCCCUUUAAGUGUGGUCCUGAUGCUGCCAAAGCCAUUAUGGAUUCUUUGCCACCACCAUGUGAAUCUGCUCACUACCGACAGACAGAUGCAGAUAAA